UCACUGCCCACACAGCCUCACCAGCAGCCACUCUGACCUGAAGGGUCAUGGAAACCCUCUCACAGACAGUGUGGCUGGAACAUUUCAAAUACACCUUGGAUGCAGGUAUGGCUCCUCACCAGCAUUUCUUCCUUGAAAGCAGCAGAGCUUCUCUCUUACCUUCCUGGGGUUCUAUAUACAACAAUGCAUGUUGCUUAGCAACACAGCUUCCUUUUAAGAUGCUCUUUUGUCAUUUCAAAGCCUCCAUGCCAGAAGUUCUUUAAAUAGUCUGAACUCAUACUAGCUUCCUCAGUUUGCCUCUUUUCCUUUUUAUCUGCCUGGUUUCCUUCCAUUGCAAGGUUAAUAUCUGUGUCCAGCCAAACCAAGACCAACAGAAAUGCAACUUCCAGUGAUCAGUCAAGCUUCUCUGUGACUGUCAGACUGCAGGGCAGACUGACAGCACUGCCCCAGCACCCCCUGUGACCUGACAGCCACCCUGAAUGCAGUGAUGGAGAAAAAAAUCUGCCUAGCACUUGGGAACAGCAAACAGCAGCAUGCAGAAGAGGAGCAGAACUGAGCAUGGGAAGUGAAUCAGCCUGCAACAGCCUUGGCUGUGGCUGUCACAGAGGAUCUGCAGCCUGCCUAAGCCCAUGAGCCAUUUGUAAUUGGCUCAGCCUUGGCCAGCAGCACAUCCAUCUGGAGCCUCCUGCACUGGAUCUGCUGGGCAUGAAGGAAGAUUCUGGCAGCUUCUCACAGAAGCCAUCCCUGUACCACCCCCACUACCAAAACCAGUCUGUGCAAAUCCAGUUCACAGGGACACACCAAGACUUAGCUUUUGAGCAUUAACAUGGAAAAUGGCAGCUAAACAAGGAGCAGGCAUAGCAAUCAAACUCUUUCAGAACUGUUUGUGACCAGCUGCAGAGCAAGCAGGAUUUCCAGCAAACACAGAACUGGCUGGGGAAAAGGCAGAGUUAUCAGUGGAAUGUGGAGUCAGCUUUUCAGCUUGUCCUCAUAUUAAGAUAAGCUAUUUACUUUUGUAUACUAUAAAUUAAAGAGGAGGAAAUAAAACCCAGCCAAUCAGGCUGGCACAGAAGCCUCCUAGUACCAAACAAAUACAGCAGCAGGGCGCUGGCUCUGUGGCCUCUUGGUGCCUGCCAGCCCCAGCAGUCCACCCAGCAGGUUUAGGCAAGUAUGCAAAAUGGAGUGAGCUCUGCACUGCUGGAAGCUUCCCUCCCACCUCGUGGGCUCCUGCUCUCUCCUCAGCUGCCUGCAGGACUGAGCUCAGCGUGGCUCAGGUGAACCCUGAAAUCAGCUCCAGCUACCAGCACAGCUGUGGCCUUCAUACAUGGUUUCAGAGCCAAAGGCACUGAUUUUGUGCAAAUCCUUGGCACCAGAGAAGCUGAGGUGUCUUCACCUUCCUGGGUGCUGACCUUGAUGCACUCCACAUGGCAUCUUGAUUACUUGAAGCUUCCCUGAUUGAGUACAGGAUCUGUAUCAGCUCUGUCAGGCUGAGACAUAUUUUCUGAGCCCAGUAAGUUUUCCUCAUGCCUGUUUCUCCUCAGUGGUGGAGAAAGAGUGCCACUUAAGGCAACAAAGCUGUCGAGCUAAUAACUGAG